UACGAAGGGGGCUAGCGUUGUUCGGAUUUACUGGGCGUAAAGGGCGCGUAGGCGGUGCGAUAAGUCAGGCGUGAAAGCCCCGGGCUCAACCCGGGAAUAGCGCUUGAUACUGUUGCGCUUGAAUCCAGGAGAGGAUGGCGGAAUUCCCAGUGUAGAGGUGAAAUUCGUAGAUAUUGGGAAGAACACCAGUGGCGAAGGCGGCCAUCUGGCCUGGAAUUGACGCUGAGGCGGCGAAAAGCGUGGGGGAGCAAACAGG
rnacentral:rRNA from 1 species